UGCAGCCAGGUCAAAUUCAGUACUUGCCUUCCCAUGGUGGGCACUGGCCCAGCUGGCUGCCACAGCAACACCUGUAGCUCAUGGGCCCCACGUCCCCUUCAUUGGACCGUGGGGAUAAAAGCAUGCUACAGAUACUC
rnacentral:snoRNA from 1 species